ACUCAAAGGAAUUGACGGGGACCCACACAAGCGGUGGAGCAUGGGGUUUAAUUCGAUAGUAAGCGAAGAACCUCACCUAGGCUUGACAUCUAGCGAACCCUCCAGAAACGGAGGGGUGCCGCAAGGAACGCUAAGACAGGCGCUGCACGGUUGUCGUCAGCUCGUGCCUUGAGGUGUACUGUUAAGUCAGCGAACGAGCGCAACCCUCAUCCUAUGUUGUUUUUUCAUGGGAGACUGCCGCCUCCAAGGCGGAGGAAGGUGGGGAUGACGUCAAAUCAGCGUGGCCCUUAUGCCUAGGGCAACACCCGUGCUACAAUGGCCGGUACAAACCGUUGCGAAUCCGCGAGGAGGAGCCAAUCGGAAAAAGCCGGUCUCAGUUCGGAUUGAAGUCUGCAACUCGACUUCAUGAAGUUGGAAUCGCUAGUAACCGUAAAUCAGCUACGUUACGGUGAAUAUGUUCCUGGGUCUUGUACACACCGCCCGU
rnacentral:rRNA from 1 species